UUAUUGUAGGAAUUGUAGGUUGGGUUGGAAUUUUAUAAUAUAAUAGUCAUGAAUCGUCUGUCCUCAUAAGUUUUGAAGAUAUAAAUCAAUUAUAAUUCAUACUUGUUUGAAAACAAGUCCUACUGCUGUCCACAUGCUACAAAUAGUGCCACUGUGUUUACAAAUAGUUUACGAUGGAGUCAUCAGCAUUACAGGGCACUGAAAGUAUUACCGUGAAGACUGAGCCCGGUGAGGAUGCGUGUAUGACGGAUUUAUCAACGAUCGCAGUGUCUGUGAAAGUGGAGCAUUUGCUGGACGAUGUGUGCGUCAAGGACGAACCUAGACCCGAUGGUGUGUGUAUAAACAGUGAGCCAUCGAGCUCAGAAGUGAGUGUAAAAGAGGAGUCAGCCAGCGCGCGCGUGGCGGCGGAGCUGUACGCCGGCCACGCGGUGAAGGACGAGCUCGUGCUCGGCCCCGAGCUAGUGGAGCGCCGCCCCGUGCGACACGCAUCAGCGGCGUCAAAUGGGGCGAUCAAACAGCAGCAGUUGAGUGAGAUUGUCCCCAGGGGACCCUUCCUAAGAGACUGCAGUGUGCGGUUGAAUCGUCUUGACAUGGACAAGCUUCUCACGCACAUUCGGAGUACAGACCGGGACAACGAGUCAGGGCAAACUCCACAGAAGAUAUCAAGUGGCGGACCCGAAACCUACAGAUGUGCACACUGUAAAUAUACAACGGUUCAGAAACUACGCUUAAUUAGGCAUUUGAGUAAACACACCAGUGAGAGGCCGCACAGGUGUGACCCGUGUAACUAUACUUGCAGCUCAAAGAGUUGUCUGACAAUUCAUUAUAAGAAACACACCGAUGAAAAGCCAUAUAAAUGUAACCAGUGCAACUACGCUAGUAGCCGGAAAAAUCAGUUGCUUAGUCAUGUAAGGACACACACUGGGGAAAAGCCAUAUAAAUGCAAGCAGUGUAACUACGCGAGUAGCCACAAACAUCAUUUGCAACGUCAUGUAAGGACACACACUGGGGAAAAGCCAUAUAAAUGUGAUCAGUGUGACUACGCUAGUAGCUAUAAAAUUUCAUUGCUAGUUCAUGUAAGGACACACACUGGGGAAAAGCCAUAUAAAUGCAACCAGUGUAACUACGCUGGCAACUUCAAACAUGAUUUAAAAGUUCAUGUAAGGGCACACACUGGGGAAAAGCCAUAUAAAUGCAACCAGUGCAACUCCAGCAGCCAUAAAAGUUCACUGCGAGUUCAUGUAAGGACACACACUGGGGAAAAGCCAUAUAAAUGCAAGCAGUGUAACUACGCGAGUAUCUGCAAACAUAAUUUGCAAUGUCAUGUAAGGACACACACUGGGGAAAAGCCAUAUAAAUGCAACCAGUGUAACUACGCUGGCAACUACAAACAUGAUUUAAAAGUUCAUGUAAGGGCACACACUGGGGAAAAGCCAUAUAAAUGCAACCAGUGCAACUUCGCCAGCAGCCAUAAAAGUUCACUGCGAGUUCAUGUAAGGACACACACUGGGGAAAAGCCAUAUAAAUGCAAGCAGUGUAACUACGCGAGUAGCCACAAACAUCAUUUGCAAUGUCAUGUAAGGACACACACUGUGGAAAAGCCGUAUAUUUGCAACCAGUGCAACUACGCUAGUAGCCGGAAAAGUAAUUUGCAAACUCAUGUAAGGACACACACGGGUAAAAAGCUAUAUAAAUGCAACCAGUGCAAUUACACUAGCAGCCGGAAAAGUAAUUUGCAAAGACAUGUAAGGACACACACCGGAGAAAAACCAUAGAUUUAGAUUCAUUUAUUUCUUAAUAACUAUUACAUGUUUUUUAUUACAACCGAAUAUAAAAAUGAAUACAUAUUAAGAUCGUCAAAAAUAAAGAUCAUCUGGAUAUCUUGUUGGGCGUGCACUUAUAGCCUUAGUACAUAUAUAUAGAUGCAAUCAGUGCAAUUACGCUAGCAGCUACCAACACUUUGCAAGUUCAUGUAAGGAUACACACUGGGGAAAAGCCAUAUAAAUGCAACCACUGUAACUACGCUAGCAGGUACAAAAAUCAAUUGCAAUUUCCUGUAAAGACACAUACUGCGGAAAAGUCAUAUAAAUGCAACCAGUAUAAUUACGCUAACAACCGGAAAAGCUGAUUGCUAAAUCAUGUAAGGACACACACUGGGGAAAAGAUAAAUGCAACCAGUGUAACUGUACUAGCACGUACAAAACUCAAGCCAUAUAAAUGCAACCUGUGCAACUACGCUAGCAGGUGCAAACAUAAUUUGCAAGAUCAUGUAAGGACACACACUGAGGAAAAUUCAUAUAAAGCAACCAGUAAGUAGUAAUUACACACAUUGGGGAAAAGGCAUAAAAAUAUAACCGGUGUACCUACGCUCGCAAAGGAAAAGUAAUUGUGAUACUCAUGAAUGUAUUAUUUGAGGUAUGCAACAUAAUACCACGCGUUCCUAAAGGGUCGUGACAGGCAUAUAAAUAAUAAUAAUAAAUAUUAUAGGACA